rnacentral:rRNA from 1 species
CUGGCGGCGUGCCUAAUACAUGCAAGUCGAACGCACUCUCGUUUAGAUUGAAGGAGCUUGCUCCUGAUUGAUAAACAUUUGAGUGAGUGGCGGACGGGUGAGUAACACGUGGGUAACCUGCCCUAAAGUGGGGGAUAACAUUUGGAAACAGAUGCUAAUACCGCAUAAAACCUAACACCGCAUGGUGUAGGGUUGAAAGAUGGUUUCGGCUAUCACUUUAGGAUGGACCCGCGGUGCAUUAGUUAGUUGGUGAGGUAAAGGCUCACCAAGACCGUGAUGCAUAGCCGACCUGAGAGGGUAAUCGGCCACACUGGGACUGAGACACGGCCCAGGCUCCUACGGGAGGCAGCAGUAGGGAAUCUUCCACAAUGGACGAAAGUCUGAUGGAGCAACGCCGCGUGAGUGAAGAAGGUUUCGGAUCGUAAACUCUGUUGUUGGAGAAGAAUGUAUCUGAUAGUAACUGAUCAGGUAGUGACGGUAUCCAACCAGAAAGCCACGGCUAACUACGUG